UAUGAUUUUAUGACUGACACCUCUUCUUCAUGAUAACAGAUCCAAAAGCAAACAUGACUUUAACAGCCGUCAUUAUUUGGACACUCACAACCUGCACCUGGAGUUCUGUGGGACAAACUCUGACUCAAUCUGAAGCUCAAACAGUUCAGCCUGAUCAGACUGUCACUAUUCGCUGUAAUCAUAAACCAGCAGUAAACUGUAUUAAAACACAAGGCUCUGAUCAGUAUUGCAUGUCCUGGUAUCAUCAGAUUCCUGGAGAAGUUCCUAAACUCCUGAUCUAUGCCACAUCAGACAGAGCUUCAGGUGUUUCUUCUAGAUUUAGUGGUAGUGAAAGUGGAAACCACAUGGAUUUUACUCUGACCAUCAGUGGAGUCCAGCCUGAAGAUUCAGGAGUUUAUUUCUGUCAGAGUGCAUAUGACAAGGGAGGCUCGAACUGGGUGUUCACACAGUGUAAAAGCAUCAUACAAAAACCCUUUUUGGCUGAGACUUCAGCGCUGCAACUUUGAGCUUCUGCAGAUGUUGAUGUUGAAGAUCAUUAUUCACCUCACUGACUUUACACACAUAAACAUUUUAAGGCUGGAGAACUGUUAAUGUUCAUUAGUCACAAACUCAACACAUUCAGUAUA